UACAGAGGGUGCAAGCGUUAAUCGGAAUUACUGGGCGUAAAGCGUGCGUAGACGGUUAUGUAAGUCAGAUGUGAAAGCCCCGGGCUUAACCUGGGAAUGGCAUUUGAGACUGCAUAGCUAGGGUGCGGAAGAGGGAAGCGGAAUUUCCGGUGUAGCGGCGAAAUGCGUAGAUAUCGGAAGGAACACCAGUGGCGAAAGCGGCUUCCUGGUCCAGCACCGACGUUCAGGCACGAAAGCGUGGGGAGCAAACAGG
rnacentral:rRNA from 1 species